rnacentral:lncRNA from 1 species
UCCGUGUUUAUUCCCUUGAUUACACAGUAAUGUAAUGUAAUUUAUCACAAAUUUCUCCACAGGUUUCAAAGCAGAGUUACCAAAGAACAUUAUCCAUUCCGUAAGACAUCCAGUAACAAAACUUGCAGAGGAAAAUAACAAGACUAGAAAUCCAACACUAAUCAAGCCACAAAUUCCUUCCCGACAUCAGAAGCCAAUUAAAGUUUGUAGUAAAGUGACCGCACCCAACGGAACCAAUAUCGACACCGCGCACCAAACACUAGCCAACAGAGGAAUUAGGUGACGAAUUGAAUGCCAAGUUAAGCUAGCAGAAUCACGGUUACAAAUUAAAGUGACACUUUUGCUCCCUCCCGGAUUUCAAACCACGCCACAAACAUCAAUCGUCUCUAAUCGAACCCCUCGUCAAAACAGUGCCAUCACCGUUUAAUCGCACCUAGACGACAUCGACCCAUGAGCAAACAAAACCAACCCGUGCAUCUAAAUGUGGGAUCUAUCUCCUUUCUUUAAUUGGCCGCGUCAUUAUUCAUUAACAAACACUAGUAGUUAACAAAUAGCCACAAGGAUAUUGUUAUGUACGAGAGUAGGUCUAUCCAGUAAUUUAGAGAGAGCUCAAGGUGUUCAACAUCAACAUUUAUUAUCAAAGAAAAGAGCGACGUACAUCUAAGGCAGAAUCUUUGGAUGGAGCAAAAGAAGAAAACGAGUGGGAAGAAAUUACUCUAGCGAGGUGUUAUAAGGAAAUUCUCUCAAAACGAGGAAAUCAUUUUUAACUUGUUAUGAUUGAGAAGGUAUUCAGUUAUAAAAAGAAAUGCAAACAACAAUAACAAUGCGACGAAUUCCUAUCUGAGAGAUUAUUGAUGGAGAUAGGGCUCUGUGGUGUGUGUAAGUGCAAU